GAUGAACGCUGGCGGCGUGCCUAAUACAUGCAAGUCGAGCGAACAGACGAGGAGCUUGCUCCUCUGACGUUAGCGGCAGACGGGUGAGUAACACGUGGAUAACCUACCUAUAAGACUGGGAUAACUUCGGGAAACCGGAGCUAAUACCGGAUAAUAUAUUGAACCGCAUGGUUCAAUAGUGAAGGACGGUUUUGCUGUCACUUAUAGAUUGAUCCGCGCCGCAUUAGCUAGUUGGUAAGGUAACGGCUUACCAAGGCAACGAUGCGUAGCCGACCUGAGAGGGUGAUCGGCCACACUGGAACUGAGACACGGUCCAGACUCCUACGGGAGGCAGCAGUAGGGAAUCUUCCGCAAUGGGCGAAAGCCUGACGGAGCAACGCCGCGUGAGUGAUGAAGGUCUUCGGAUCGUAAAACUCUGUUAUUAGGGAAGAACAAAUGUGUAAGUAACUAUGCACGUCUUGACGGUACCUAAUCAGAAAGCCACGGCUAACUACGUG
rnacentral:rRNA from 1 species